AUGCUCGUUUUGGCAGCACAUAUACUAAAAUUGGAAUCAUACAGAGAAGAUUAGCAUGGCCCCUGUGCAAGGGGGACAUGCAUUUUCAUGAAGUGUUCCAUAUUUUU
rnacentral:snRNA from 1 species